rnacentral:rRNA from 1 species
GAUUAAAGCACCUUCGGGUGUGUAUAGAGUGGCGGACGGGUGAGUAACACGUGACCAACCUGCCUCUUACAUUGGGACAACCAAAAGAAAUUCUGGCUAAUACCAAAUACUCCGCACAUAUCACAUGAUGUAUGCGGGAAAGCUUUUGCGGUAAGAGAUGGGGUCGCGGCCCAUUAGGUAGACGGCGGGGUAGAAGCCCACCGUGCCGAUGAUGGGUAGCCGGGUUGAGAGACCGACCGGCCACAUUGGGACUGAGAUACGGCCCAGACUCCUACGGGAGGCAGCAGUGGGGAAUAUUGCGCAAUGGGGGAAACCCUGACGCAGCAACGCCGCGUGCGGGAUGAAGGCCUUCGGGUUGUAAACCGCUUUCAGCAGGGAAGACAUCGACGGUACCUGCAGAAGAAGCCCCGGCUAACUACGUGCCAGCAGCCGCGGUAAUACGUAGGGGGCGAGCGUUAUCCGGAUUCAUUGGGCGUAAAGCGCGCGCAGGCGGUUGCUCAAGCGGAACCUCUAAUCUCGGGGCUUAACCUCGAGCCGGGUUCCGAACUGGACGACUCGAGUGCGGUAGAGGCAGAUGGAAUUCCCGGUGUAGCGGUGGAAUGCGCAGAUAUCGGGAAGAACACCAACGGCGAAGGCAGUCUGCUGGGCCGU